GAUCAUGGCUCAGGACGAACGCUGGCGGCGUGCUUAACACAUGCAAGUCGAACGGAGUUUAGCGAAUGAAGUUUUCGGAUGGAAUUUGCGAAAGCUUAGUGGCGGACGGGUGAGUAACGCGUGAGGAACCUGCCUUUCAGAGGGGGGACAACAGUUGGAAACGACUGCUAAUACCGCAUAAAACGCCGGAAUGGCAUCAUAACGGCGUCAAAGGAGCAAUCCGCUGAGAGAUGGCCUCGCGU
rnacentral:rRNA from 1 species